AAGACUAUAGACCUGCGGAGUACCUGCGGAAGGAUCAUUACAGGACUCGCAAGACUCCUACAACCCUGUGAACCUACUAUACGAACGUUGCUUCGGCGGGUGCGCCCCGGGGAUUCGUUCCCGCGGCGCGUCAGCCCGCCGGCAGCCUACAAAUUCUGUUUCUUUGCGUUGGCAUCUCGAGAAAAACAAAUAAGUUAAAACUUUUAGCAAUGGAUCUCU
rnacentral:misc_RNA from 1 species